GACGAACGCUGGCGGCGUGCCUAACACAUGCAAGUCGAGCGGGGUUGAAGCGAGGGGUAACUCGAGUUUCUACCUAGCGGCGGACGGGUGAGUAACGCGUGGGCAACCUGCCUCAAGGACUGGGAUAACAGCUCGAAAGGGCUGCUAAUACCGGAUAAGCCUAUGGCCUCGCAUGGGGCCAUGAGCAAAGGGGAAACCCGCCUUGAGAUGGGCCCGCGUCCCAUCAGCUAGUUGGUGAGGUGAAGGCUCACCAAGGCGACGACGGGUAGCCGGCCUGAGAGGGUGACCGGCCACACUGGGACUGAGACACGGCCCAGACUCCUACGGGGGGCAGCAGUGGGGAAUCUUGCACAAUGGGCGAAAGCCUGAUGCAGCGACGCCGCGUGAGCGAAGAAGGCCUUCGGGUUGUAAAGCUCUGUCUGGAGGGACGAAGGAAGUGACGGUACCUCCGGAGGAAGCCACGGCUAACUACGUG
rnacentral:rRNA from 2 species